rnacentral:rRNA from 1 species
UGCAAGUCGAACGGGAUUAUUGGUAGCAAUAUCGAUAUGAGAGUGGCGCACGGGUGCAUAACACGUAUGCAAUUUACCUCUAACUGGGGAAUAGCCUUCCGAAAGGAAGAUUAACACCGCAUAACAUUUCUGAAGGACAUCCUUCGGUUAUCAAAACUCAGGUGGUUAGAGAUAAGCAUGCGUCCGAUUAGCUAGUUGGCGGGGUAAUAGCCCACCAAGGCAACGAUCGGUAGGGGGUCUGAGAGGAUGAUCCCCCACACUGGUACUGAGACACGGACCAGACUCCUACGGGAGGCAGCAGUAAGGAAUAUUGGACAAUGGGGGCAACCCUGAUCCAGCCAUGCCGCGUGAAGGAUUAAGGCCCUAUGGGUUGUAAACUUCUUUUAUACGGGACAAAACCCCUCUAUGCGUAGAGGGUUGAUGGUACUGUAAGAAUAAGCAUCGGCUAACUUCGUGCCAGCAGCCGCGGUAAUACGAACGAUGCAAGCGUUAUCCGGAAUUAUUGGGUUUAAAGGGUGCGUAGGCGGACCUGUAAGUCAGUGGUGAAAGCCUGUUGCUCAACAACAGAACUGCCAUUGGUACUGCAAGUCUUGAGUACAGUUGAGGUAGGCGGAAUGUGUCAUGUAGCGGUGAAAUGCUUAGAUAUGACACAGAACACCGAUUGCGAAGGCAGCUUGCUAAACUGUAACUGACGCUGAUGCACGAAAGCGUGAGGAGCAAACAGGAUUAGAUACCCUGGUAGUCCACGCCCUAAGCGAUGAUAACUCGCUGUUGGCGAUACACAGCCUGCGGCCAUACGAAAGCAUUAAGUUAUCCACCUGGGGAGUACGACCGCAAGGUUGAAACUCCAAGGGAAUUGACUGGGGGCUCGCACAACCGGACGGAGCAUGUGAUCUACUUCGAUGAUACUGCGAGGACCUUACUGAGCUUGAA